rnacentral:rRNA from 1 species
AGUGAACGCUGGCGGCAUGCCUAAUACAUGCAAGUCGAACGAAGUGGCGCACGGGUGAGUAAUAUAUAGAUAAGAUGCUCUCCAGAGGGGAACAACAGUUGGACACGACUGCUAAUACCUCAUAGUGCAGGAUGAGACUAUAACGUAUCAGCUGGUUGGUAAGGUAAUGGCUUCUCACGGCUAUGACGAGUAACUGGUGGGAGAGGAUGAGCAGUCACAUUGGAAGUGAGACAGGGGUCAAACUCCUACGGUAGGCAGCAAUAAGGAAUAGUGCCCAUUGGGGGAGACCCUGACAGAGCAACGCCUCGUAGAGGAUGACACUUUUCGGAGCGUAGACUCCUUUUAUCACGAAAGCGGUACCUGAUGAAUAAGCACCGGCUAACUCCGUGCCAGCAGCCGCGGUAAUAC